rnacentral:lncRNA from 1 species
GGAAAAGGGCUCUCUCCGAGACAGCUCAGAGGGCCACUAACCAGGUGGAGAAACGAAACCAGAGGAAGGAUGGGAAGGACUGAUCCACAUUCCCACCAGGAAGUUUAGCAGAACCCC